AAAUGGGACUGGGCCGGCCACGUCUAUCGCAUGCAUCCGGAUAGGUGGGCUAACAUAGCCACCAAGUGGAUGCCGACGAAGAAGCGUGGGCCGAGCAGGCCCAGACAAAGAUGGCGAAACGAUCUUGACGCCUUUCUGAAGAACUGGCCGGAGGAAACAGAGAACAGGGAGUCAUGGAGAGCCAGGGGAGAGGCCUUUGCCCAGCAGUGGGACACUCAAAUAGGCUA